CGUUUCGCAUAGGUUACGGGCGUAUCGUUUCGCAUAGGUUACGGGGGUAUCGUUUCGCAUAGGUUACGGGCGUAUCGUUUCGCAUAGGUUACGGGCGUAUCGUUUCGCAUAGGUUACGGGCGUAUCGUUUCGCAUAGGUUACGGGCGUAUCGUUUCGCAUAGGUUACGGGCGUAUCGUUUCGCAUAGGUUACGGGCGUAUCGUUUCGCAUAGGUUACGGGCGUAUCGUUUCGCAUAGAUUACGGGCGUAUCGUUUCGCAUAGGUUACGGGCGUAUCGUUUCGCAUAGGUUACGGGCGUAUCGUUUCGCAUAGGUUACGGGCGUAUCGUUUCGCAUAGGUUACGGGGGUAUCGUUUUGUAUAGUGUACCGAUUUCGUCUUGUUCACAGGCGUGCAAACAGCACGCCCGUGCUAUGCAAAACGAUACGCUCGUAAACUGUACACAAACAACUACACCGAUGGACUCACUCCCUCGAAACGGGGUGUCUCGGGGCCGGGGUCGAGGAGGAGGCGGCCUCUUCGGCGAAGGUGUCGCCGGCUGCCCCUUUCUGGGCCAGGGCCGGCAGCCGCCUCCACUUCGAGCCCUGCUCCAGAGGCAUCCUCGCCCGCCUCAGGGUUUUGGUUCAAAACUCUGGAGGCGCGGCGAAUGUUUCUAGAGAUAUUAAAUCGAUGAAUAAAGCCGUGACAGCCGCUGACGCAGUGUUUGUGAGUUUUGGGAUGGAAGUGAAGGAUGGCGCGGAGGGAGGGAAACCUGCCGCCGAGGGCCUCAAAUUCCUGCCUGUCCCUGUACUUAGCACGGCGCUUUCUCCCCAUACAAAACCUUUCUCCUUCUCUUACCCAUGCACACAUCAUCACCACCUCCUCUUCGUACAGACAACUCGGCCCCGCCCUGUCCCUCACCUCCCUCACCUCGCUGCUUUACCCACUACUCCCUCUUUCUCCUUACUCCUUAGUCCUCUUCUUCCAUUUGCACUUCCUUCUCCUCUCUCUGUCUUCCCUCCCGUCCCCAAUAUCC